rnacentral:lncRNA from 1 species
CAUUUAAUAAAUCUCACGAGGUGAACACUUACUUGGAAAUACUUUGGAAGAGUGUUGUAUUUACAGACCUCUUGAAAUGCCAGUAGGGUCAUUACAUGCCGCAGAUGUAGAACAUAUGCCGGGCAUAUUGUGCUUAAGCCACCAAAGACUUAAAGUCUCGGGAGUAAGUAGGUGGUCGCGUCCAACAUUGUGAUUGAUCAUUAAAAUAGUAUUCCAACUAAAAAUAUUCAAUUCUUAGGUGGUCGUGUCCAACAUUGUGAUCUCCUUUUAUUCAUUUUGAUGACAAGUAUUUUCGGACGGAGGACAUUUCAUAAAACACCUGAAAGGUAUAGCUUAAUUAGUAUCAGUACGUAGUGAUUCUUGCUACCAUGAAUUUAGAGAUAUAUAUAUAUAGAGAGAGAGAGGGAGGGAGGGAUCAUAUUAUGCAUCGUCCUUCGCUUAUCUAGUGUGAGGAACUACAGAUAGAAAGGAGAAAUAUGCUUGGAACUGAUGGAUAUAGAAUGCAGUGCAUCAUAACCAAAUAUGGAUGAAGCGGCAAUGGCUGUAAAAGCAAUCACGUGAUGAAAAUUUGCAAAUGGGAACAUGGAACAAAAACAGGAAGAGUUUCCAUCUCAUGUAUAGUAGUAAAGGAACCCUGAAAAUGGCUGUAAAAGCAAUCACGUGACCGAUAACAUACUCCCUGUCGUAAAGGAACCCUAACAUAUAAAGUUGUACUAUUUCAUCACAUACCUUAUUAGCGCAGUAGUACGUCUUUCCCGAUGCCCAGACCCUGCGACCGAUAACAUACUCCCUGUCGUUGCAGAAGAAUGGAAACUGCACAGGCAAGGCAAGCAGUGACGGCAAAACUUAUAUAGUUUGUAAUGCAUUCCAGAAAUAUUGCCAGGGAUAUCACGCAGAUACCUCACCUUCCUGACCCAGCAAACAACCAUUGUUCCAGUCUUUGUGCACCCGUCGUUCAAUCUCGUGCUGCAGAUAUUGUCCCAAGUGU